CUUUCAAAAGAGACUCUUCUGGAGGCCUUGAUGGCAUUCGUGCUAUUUUCAUCCAAGACAUUUUAAAACCUAACAUAUCAUGCAAAACCCUCUUGCAGAACCUUACCAGGUUAUUAAAUUUAAUUCUUAAUGGGCCCCUCCCACCACCUAUCAUUCCUAUUCUCUUUGGUGCCCGCCUUAUAGCCCUCAAAAAAAAGGAUGGAGGUAUCCGCCCAAUUGCUGUUGGGUCGUUCUUCAGAAGGACUAUCUCUAAGAUCAUUGCCUCACGAAUAAAGGAAUCUCUUUCUUCAUUCCUGUCGCCAGCUAGGGUUUGGUGUACCUGGAGGAUCUGAAAUUUCGGCCCAUCUUGCUCGCAUUACCCUCUCAAAUAAUAUUCCUGACUGUCGUUUUAAAACUUGAUUUCAAAAAUGCUUUCAAUACAAUCAAACGUCAAUAUUUCGUUCCCUUGUUUUGCCACAAAUAUCCUCAAUAUUCUACAUACAUUCUCAACAGUUACUCUAGCCCUACUUUUUUAAAGUACAAUAACAACAUAAUAAAAUCUCAGGAGGGAAUCCAACAAGGAGACCCCUUAGGCCCAGCCCUUUUUUGCAUCGGGAUACACAAGAUAAUCCUAGAUAUUCAAUCUAUAUCUAACCUCACUCUAAAUUCCUGGUACCUCGAUGACGGUAUAGUCUCAGGCAACCUCUCCACAGUCAUGUCCAUUCCCCCCAUCAUUGAAAAUCUCUCUUAUAUAACAGGACUAUCUCUCAACUUCCCCAAAUGUGAGAUUUGCUUCUUAAACUCUACAACAUCCAUCCCUUCAGAAACCACAUUCCUCGCCAUCAACAGAGAAGAGAUGACACAUCUUGGAUCACCGAUAGGGGGUUUUGAUCCACAAUGACAACCAUGUCGUUGUGACAAUGGUGCCGAAGAGCGGAGGAGACCGGCCCUUUACAACCUUCAGUGUGGGACCGGUGAAACAACAAGGAGAGGUGUCAAACUGUAUUCUAAUACAAAAAAAAAAAAUUCCAGAAGAACGUAAGAAAAAUAUAUAAAUAAAGAUGAAAAGGAAAUAUUAUGUUGUUAAGAUUAUGUUUAUGUAGGAUAUAAAAUCUAAAAUUAAAGACAAAGGUAACAUUCAUAGUAGAUAGAGAUAAUUGUGUUUAGUUAUUUAAAGGUGAUAAUUAGGAAUUUUAUAUUUAGAAGUUACUGGUAAACUAAAAACCAAUGGAAUUUUGAAACUAAUAAAGACUAUGAUAUUUUAGAUUUUAGAAUUAUUAUCAAGUGAUCACUAGAAAUAACUUUGACAAAGAAAUAGAAACAUAAAUUGCGAAAGUUAAUAUUUAACUAAUAGGUUGCUGAGAUAUAAUAAUUAAAAAAUUCGGUGAAUAAGAUUAGAAUAUAACUUUAUUGUUAGGAAAUAGUUGAUUAAAUUCUUAUUGAAGAUUUACGUUUAACUUUUAUUUUAAGGGCUGCGAGAGAUAAAACAGCCUCAAGGAUUAAUGUGAAUUAGUAUAUUAGGUUGUAGAUUAACCAAAAAAUCUUCAUAGAGAGAAUCGGCUUUUCGUCAUUAGAAAAUUUAUGCCGCAAUCGAGCUCAAUUUGAGAUCGGAUAUUUAUUUUUUUUGAAUCAUAAAUAAGAUUUGAGAUCAAUUAUGCAACAUUAUUCUAAUAAUAACAGAAAGAAAAACAUGCGUUAGAAAUAUACAUAUCAGUUUUCAACAACGGUUGUGCGAAAAAUUAUAAUGAUUAGAGUUCAUAAGUUAUUCAAAGACGUGGGGUGAAAGCCAUAGUGAUUAGAAUUAAGAGGUUGUUCAUAAACGUAAGUAUGAAAACUUUUAUGAUUAGGUCAUUGAUUUCUCAACAACGUAUGUAUGAAAAGAGAUUUAUAUAUUUCAGCUGUUUUUUUUAAAGACUUAGUGUCAAAGAGUACAUGAGGAAAUAAAUACACAAUGAUAAUUUUUUUAAAA